GUAUGAACGGCAAAACCUCUUCCAACUGUCUCCCCUCCCAUCCUUUUAAAUUUCCUCCUGUGUGAAGAAGCACAGAUAUAUCAGAAAGACGAGAAGACCCUGUCGAGCUUUAACCACUAAGUGGACCUUACCCUUUUCAGGCACCACCCAAAGGUUUUGGUUGGGGCAACCAUGGAGGAAAAAAGAUCCUCCAGAACAAAUAGAAGAAAGCUUUUCACUAUUUUACGACUGAGAACCAGGAACUGGUAUUCGGAAAAAGUUACCGCAGGGAUAACAGCGUCAUCUCCUCUAAGAGUCCUUAUUGACGAGGAGGUUUGCGACCUCGAUGUUGGAUUGGGGCCCCCUUAGGGUGCAGAAGCUCUAAACGGUUAGACUGUUCGUCUAUUAAAGCCCUACAUGAUCUGA
rnacentral:rRNA from 1 species